UGACUUCCGAUCGUUGUGCAACCUUUUACGCAAGUUUCAUCAGCGAAUUAAUUUUACUUACUGAAAAAGGGACUCUGCUAAUCCGCAAAAGCACAAAGUUUUCUAAAUGAGCACAAAGAAAUUUUAAUGCAGUUUACUUUUUCUGACGCUACGACCAAGGACGAUAUGCCGGCACCGAGCGUCAAAAAAUUAAUGGCUUCCUUUCUGUUGUGUUUACCGGCGACUUCCUUGUAGAGCAAUUUGCAUCACACAGUGAAUUUGUUGUAAAGCAAGCUUGCGCUACCAACGGAUACGGAGAUAUGAUUUACUCGUGCGUUAUCGUCAUCGUGCGUCAUCGUCACGCAAGCUUUCACCACCUCAAGGCAUUCCGCGUGACAAGAACUUCUGCAGCAAUCACCUCAAUUACGCACACACUUUUUAUCCAAAUUUUGCGGGAGACAAGUCCGAACAUGAUUUCAUUGCUAGCUGGGCAUUCCUCCAGACGAUCAUAGAUUCCCUGUGUCACCCAAGGAUUGAAGAAUUUAUCUGCCUAGCAGCGCAACCUGAAUAUCGUCCAUAUGGCAAAAGCGUAGGCCCCUGUCGUAAGCUUUGUCACGAAAUUGCAAACGCCUGCAAGUCUUAUUUUUGGGAGCCAUUGGAAAAACAGAAAAUCAUGCUCAACUACGACGGGCAGUAUUUUGAUUCGACCGAUCAGCGUCUAUGUCACAGUUAGGUGCCCAUCAUAUAAAACUAUACGUCAAUCUUGAAAUCUAGCCCUUAGAUCAAUUCUUGAACAUCACCGAGAAGAAGAAUUUUCAAUUUCAAUGACGCACGAGGAGAAGACAAGAAUCUAGCAUACGCAUAACAAAAAAUUUGAGGGAAAAGAAUACUUGGUAAUAUUCCCGCCAUAACUGAUUGGAACUAUUACUACAUUUUUGAAAUACUUCAUCUCUACUUACUAACCUUUUUUUCCGUGUUUCUAUUCGUGUUCCCCACGUUUCUCUUAUGAUUCUUUUUCAUUUCCUUAAAAGCUUGUUUGAAUAUAUAAUAACCACAUGAAAUAUAUAGCAACAUUCUGGCAAAUUCUUCAACAUUCAGAACCAGCCAGGUGAGAAGUCAAUUGAAUCUAUGU